AUGGUGGCGCACACCUGUAAUCCCGGCCCUCGGGAGGCUGAGGCAGGAGGAUCAUCGCGAGUUGGAAACCAGCCUGGGCUACAAAGUGAGCUCAAGGCCAGCCUGAACUGCAUGGUGAGACCCUGUCUCAAAAAGAACAAAAAAAAAAAAAAAAAAAAAAAAAAAAGAAAAGAAAAGAAAUAGUUUUGCCAGGAAUGGUGAUGUAUUGCCAGCCUGUGCUACAUAGUGAGUUCAAGGAAACACUAUUUCCAAAAAAAAAGGUUUGACCUCAAGACCCAUAGGAAGAUCUCCAAGAAAUUACUCUCCCAACCACCAUGGGAGUCUGACAGAUCUGGAGUUCUGGCCUAGAGGAACAGUUAAUAUAUACAACAAAAGGUCUAGUCUGCGGGGCGUGUUGGCCCACACCUAUAAUCCCACCUACUCUCAGGCUGAAAUAGAAGGAUCUCAAAUUUGAGGCUAGCCUGGGCAAUUUAGAUAGACCCUGUCUCAAAAGUAAAAAGGGCUGCAGACAUAGUUCAGUGCUGAGACCCUGGGUUCAAUCCCCAUUAUCACACAGGCAGAAAUUCUAAAUCAGUUUUAACAAGAACUCAUUUUUAAAGCAUUAACUGUACAUAUAUAUAUAUAUAGUAUUUUUCAGACAGGGUCUCACUAUGCUGUUCAGGCUGGCCUUGAGCUCACUUUGUAGCCCAGGCUGGCCUCGAACUCACAAUGAUCCUCCUGCCUCAGCCUCCCAAGUGCUGGAAUUACAGGCGUGCACCACCAUGCCUCUCAUGUAUAUGGUUUAAAAUGCUUUAAAUUUAUUUAGAGAUGCAGUUCAAUUAGAUGACAUCUGAAAUCAUUCAGUUCCAAAACUGUGGGACUAGAUUAGCACAGAAAUUCUACCAGUGCAAAGUAAGAGUCGUGGCCAGCAAUUAAAAUCUUUAGAGGAAGUGGUAUAAAUCACGGAACACUUAACCAGUGCUGAUGUCAUGAGUUUUCUUCAAUCUACAUUUGAGAGGAAAAAAAAAGACUAAAGGUACAGAGGAAAAGUUUACUCUUAAUCAGUUCAGUAUUUUAAAAAGUGGUUUAGGCAGUGGUUUCUGCUAUUUUCACCCUCCACUAUGAAAGGAUAAAAACUCAGUGAUGUCUACAAGGCUUUCCACAGUUGAGCUCCUUCCAACCUCUCCAGCUGAGACAGGAGGUUAGGGCGUGGCAAAGCUGACUGGUGAAGUAGACAUAACCUGUUAAUUACGAGAUUCUAGACACAGGCAGAACAGUUCCCAAAGCCCUUCUUACAAAACUUCAAGCAGGUUUGCAAUAGGAUGGCCUAGACCUAAAGUCAACCUGAGGUGUGGGAUCCAAGCACUGCCUCUCAGGACCAAAAUGUAGAAGUUCUCCUGGGUUUACCUGAGAUUUGAACAACAUGUUAGGAUGCGGAUGCCCCAAGGAUCCCACUGUCGUGGCUUUCCUCAUGAUGGCCCACUCUGCUUUCUCCAGGGUGUUUUUUAUCUUGCUUUUCCCCAUUUUACUUGGCCCAAGCUUGUGCUGAGAGCCAGUGUCUCCCUCAUUCUUCGCUUUUACUUUUUCAAAUAAACUUUGCUACUGCUUUUUGCUCAUUUAGUUCAGUUCUUUGUUCAAGAUGAAAAGAAUCUGGAAUCCAACUCCAGAAGGAGAGGAGAGCAACCACUUUCAGCCAACAUCACAGCAGCAUUUCAGGCCACCUUCCCUCCUCAGGUAGGUUUUGUCCUUCACAGCUUCCUUCAAAUCACAAUGUCUCAGGAAGAUUGCUGGGAGUUCCAGGCCAGCCUAGGCCACAUAGUGAGUUCAAGGCCAGUCAGCAAGAACCUGUUUAAAAAAAAAAAAAAACACUGGCCGGGUGUGGUGGUACAUACCUGUAAUUCCAGCACUUGGGAGGCUGAGGCAGGAGGAUCAUUUCUAGUUUGAGACCAACCUGGGCUACAAAAUGAGCUCAAAACCAGCCUGAACUGCAUAGCGAGACCUUGUCUCAAAAAAAAGACAAAAAAAAAAAAAAAACCCACAGCACCAAACAAAAAAACUGACAGUCUCUCCUGUGUGUGGAAGCUUUUCCCACCACCCCACCCUUUCACAGUUGAGAAACAAUCACUCCCACUACUACCACCUGUCCUCCAUAGCUGUAAAUUCCCUGAAUGGUGACAUGAUCAAUGUUUGACUUCUCUCUCACUUCCUCCAGAUUGAACUCCAUAAGGAAGUUGUCUGCCUGAUACUGCUCAUUGACUUUCCAAACUAUGGUAACGCUCCUACCACCUAGAAAGUGCUCAAUAAAUAUUUACUGAGUGAAUUAACUAUUAAAAGUGGCACAACUUCUGGCUCUUCCCCAAAUUCUAAGAAGAUUCCCCCAACUCUAAGGAGGCAUGUCAGAAUCUGGGGAGAAAAAUAUUUGAAAAUGCUUACCAAGUGUUUCUAGUAAUUGUUAUAAUGGGUCUGUCUGUCCCUUCAUCUUUGCAUACUUACAGUGGUAUCUUGGUUCACAAACUUAACUCAUUCCACAAUUUUGGAAAAAAUGGCCACAUUCAUAUUCAUGCAGGAAAGAUGGCCAUGAUCUAUUUUGUCACCUGAUGCAGAUUUGCAACCAAAAGCAAAAUUUUGCCAAAUGCUUCUGUUUGAGAAUCAAUUGUUUAUUUGAUGGAAAGGAAAAUUCAAAGCGUGAAAAAUAAUUAUCUUUUAUAACUUUUUAUAUAAAUUUUACCCUAUUUUUUAUCACACCUUGACCAUUCUGUUGAGAAGCACAAGUUUUAGUUUUUCUUUAGGUGGUAAAACUUCAUAUUCCUCUUCCAAAAGAGACCAGAGUGAUAUCUGUGAAAACUGAUCUUGCACUGAGGCAUGCCACCAACAUCAUCUGAGCUUCUUGGGGGCCACUAGUGCUAGUCAAGAUGGUCGUGGCUAUUUCUCAAAAGGUCCCAAAUUUCAGAGCUAUCUAACUCUAAGUCGCAUGUCCAUGAAGGGCUGAAAGAACUUGUUUGUAUAGGUGUGUUCUAUAAGAGUGAUUUCAAAAUGAAACUGGAUGAAAAAUAAUCAUAAUGACCUAAAUGUUCUCUUGGAAAUAGGCAUAAUAUAAACAGUGUUUCUAAUUACAAGCAGUUGUGCGAUAAUAAUAUUUAACUAUAUACUUACUGAGUAAAUAAUUACAAAAGUUUAAUUCAUAACUGAAAGGUCAUGGCAAUUUACAUUCAUACAUUACAGAGACUUCAUUCUUAAGCUCUCCUCUCUUUUGAGUGCUUUUUGAAGACUACAUAUAGUUCACAGUCAUUCCACUGCUGCUUGAGACUGAAACCUAAUCCUCUGGACCACUGAGCUAAAAAGGAAUCUGUUGGAAAUGAUUUAGGAUAGCAUUUGGCACUUCAUGAUUGCUACUCUUGCUGGCUCAUAAACCAUCCCAAGGACAAUCAGACUCCACAGAUUAAAUUGUAGGGCAGGUUGAGUGCUGACUACCUAAAAAGUGCAACCCUGCCUGUUGUUCAAGUACAGGAGGCUGAACGAAUGAAGGAGAUGAGCCAAAGGUGUUAUUACAAGUGUUAUCUUAUUUUCAGGCUUUUUAAGGUUAUAAAAGGUAGUUACCUUUUCUGCUUGCUUUAUACUUUCCUCUCCAGCAAAUAAAACUAAGUAAGUAUGCAAAGACAGAGGUAAGGACAAAAGUCACAUGGUGUGAGAUGUAGUGAAUAAGGUGGAUGAGGACCAGAAAGUAGCAAGAACAAUAGGAGAAGUUUUAAACAGAGGGGGAGCAUUAUGAGGGGGAUUAAUGGCAAUGUGUCUGUUACUUCCUGAACCAGUGCUGGAAGUCCUCUUUCAUGAAUGUCUUUUUGUGGCUGCUUCAGUGUUGUGAAUCUAUUUCAACAUGUGCGGCAAUUUCUGUCAAUAAAAUCGUUAUAGUGGGUCCUUUCUCCCUUAUUCCCUAGUUAUGGCAUUAUGUGACUUCUGGCUCUUCCUUAAAGUCAAAGUGACCACAAAAGAGAAAUGUUUUGGAUUGAUUCAGGACAUUGAGGUAGCCACCACAACAAUGCAACUAAAGACAUGAAAAAAGACUUCCAGAACUGCUUCAGAAGGUGGCAGAAGCAAUGGGAUAGGUGUAUUUAAAGAGAAGGGGAGUAUCUUGAGGGGCAUUAAUGUGUCUUUUACUAUAAUUUUUAGCACUUAGUAUUUACCACAAAUUUUAAGCAUGCUUGGAUCUUUAGUGAAACAGAAGGGUCAAUGUUACUGAAAUAGUGCUAACUACUAUAUUUGGUGGGAUAAAGGCAGGCUAUUACAAGGUGCUGGGGAGAAUAAAAAUCACGAGCUAGUCAGUCAUCAUGAAAGCCAAGUAUUUCAUCAAAAAAUCUAAGGAGUUAAAGAUAAGGGGAAGCUUCUGUCCUAGUGACCAGACAGGUUAGGAUAAGCACUUUUCAAGAAAGAGAAAAAAAUAGAGGACAGAAAGGGAGAAGGAGAAGAAGGAGGAAAAAGGGAAUAAAGAUGGAAGGAAGAGCAACUUGAUAUUAGGCAAUCAACAAAUUAUAUUUUGAUAUUCUAAAAUAUGUCUGUAAGUUCUUUGAUGUUCCUCCUUCAGGAAGGGGAGCCUAAAUCUCCCCUUGAAUGCAAGUUGACUCAGUAAUUCAUUUCCAAUUAAUAUACUAUGGCAGAAGUGACACUAUAAGACCUUA
rnacentral:lncRNA from 1 species